rnacentral:rRNA from 1 species
AUUGAACGCUGGCGGCAGGCCUAACACAUGCAAGUCGAGCGGAUGAAGGGAGCUUGCUCCUUGAUUCAGCGGCGGACGGGUGAGUAAUGCCUAGGAAUCUGCCUGGUAGUGGGGGAUAACGUCCGUAAACGGGCGCUAAUACCGCAUACGUCCUUAGUGAGAAAGUGGGGGAUCUUCGGACCUCACGCUAUCAGAUGAGCCUAGGUCGGAUUAGCUAGUUGGUGGGGUAAAGGCCUACCAAGGCGACGAUCCGUAACUGGUCUGAGAGGAUGAUCAGUCACACUGGAACUGAGACACGGUCCAGACUCCUACGGGAGGCAGCAGUGGGGAAUAUUGGACAAUGGGCGAAAGCCUGAUCCAGCCAUGCCGCGUGUGUGAAGAAGGUCUUCGGAUUGUAAAGCACUUUAAGUUGGGAGGAAGGGAAGUAAGUUAAUACCUUGCUGUUUUGACGUUACCAACAGAAUAAGCACCGGCUAACUUCGUG